rnacentral:rRNA from 1 species
UGGGGAAUAUUGCACAAUGGGCGCAAGCCUGAUGCAGCCAUGCCGCGUGUAUGAAAAAGGCCUUCGGGUUGUAAAGUACUUUCAGCGGGGAGGAAGGGAGUAAAGUUAAUACCUUGGCUCAUUGACGUUACCCGCAGAAGAAGCACCGGCUACUCCCGUUCCAGCAGCCGCGGAAAUACGGAGGGUGCAAGCGUUAAUCGGAAUUACUGGGCGUAAAGCGCACGCAGGCGGUUUGUUAAGUCAGAUGUGAAAUCCCCGGGCUCAACCUGGGAACUGCAUCUGAUACUGGCAAGCUUGAGUCUCGUAGAGGGGGGUAGAAUUCCAGGUGUAGCGGUGAAAUGCGUAGAGAUCUGGAGGAAUACCGGUGGCGAAGGCGGCCCCCUGGACGAAGACUGACGCUCAGGUGCGAAAGCGUGGGGAGCAAACAGG